GCUGUAGUCUUGUAGUGCAGUGGUUUGAGCAUUAGACUAUGACUCUAAAGAUCAGGGUUCGAUUCCUAGCUCCAGCA